CAGCAAACCAUACAUUUUUUAUGUUUCAACAGCAUUUUGUAAGUUAUCACGACUUAUUUCCUUCAGUUGUGAUGCACAACCUGUGCACAAACAAGUGAAAAAGUUCUGCCAACUCAUAUGUCCUUGUCGUAAAAUGCGGGAAUGCCAACUUUCCGAGUUGAGGUUUGUUACCUGAACUCACACGAGUCGUGUUUCAUCAGGGCUGGAGACAACACAGCCGUUCAGCGAGGCGGGCGCGUGCAUACGGGCACACGGUUCAUCUACGACUGCGGUCAAGCCAGCCGACUCAUCAAGAUCGGCGGUCAAGCCAGCCGACUCAGUUUUUUGCCGUACCUGUAUAUACUAGCCAUUACGACAAAUUACAUAACAGCACACAGACAGACCGCAGCAUUGAAGGGCCUUAUUUUAUUUCUCUGUGAGAGUCACAAGAAGCUGUUCAGGAAUUGUCUGGAUACUGACCCAGAAGAGGAGAAGACAAGGGGUCUCAUUUUGGGGAUACUUUCUGUGAUGGAGGAUCAAAGUUCCGCUCCUGCAAGACUUCAAAACGUAGCUGUGGUUUUAGAAGAACAUAUCGUCUUACAAGACCUCCCUGACCUGCCAACGGCCCUUGCGUUGCUCUUUGGGCUGAUAUAUACGCCCUGAACAUCCAAAGGGCGUAUAUAUCAAUCAAUCAAUAAAACAUGAUCUGUGAGUUUGCGUGGGGUCUAAUUUGUGAGGACAAAAGAGAUAGAGUUAUAAACCCAACUGGUAUCCUAAUCGGAACAUACUGGGCCUGCUGAGAAGGAAUUGGACAAUGG
ensembl:lncRNA